UGGGGCAGGGAGGGGGCUAAGGUGAGGCAGGUGGCGCCAGCCAGGUGCACACCCAAUGCCCGUGAGCCCAGACACUGGACCCUGCCUGGACCCUCGCAGACAGACAAGAACCGAGGGGCCUCUGCGCCCUGGGCCCAGCUCUGUCCCACACCGCGGUCACAUGGCGCCACCUCUCUUGCAGCCUCCACCAAGGGCCCAUCGGUCUUCCCCCUGGCGCCCUCCUCCAGGAGCACCUCUGGGGGCACAGCGGCCCUGGGCUGCCUGGUCAAGGACUACUUCCCCGAACCGGUGACCGUGUCGUGGAACUCAGGCGCCCUGACCAGCGGCGUGCACACCUUCCCGGCUGUCCUACAGUCCUCAGGGCUCUACUCCCUCAGCAGCGUGGUGACCGUGCCCUCCAGCAGCUUGGGCACCCAGACCUACACCUGCAACGUAGAUCACAAGCCCAGCAACACCAAGGUGGACAAGAGAGUUGAGCCCAAAUCUAGUGACACAACUCGCCCGUGCCCACCGUGCCCAGCACCUGAACUCCUGGGGGGAAUGUCAGUCUUCCUCUUCCCCCCAAAACCCAAGGACACCCUCAUGAUCUCCCGGACCCCUGAGGUCACGUGCGUGGUGGUGGACAUGAGCCACGAAGACCCCGAGGUCCAGUUCAGGUGGUACGUGGACGGCGUGGAGGUGCACAAUGCCAAGACAAAGCCGCGGGAGGAGCAGUUCAACAGCACAUACCGUGUGGUCAGCGUCCUCACCAUCCUGCACCAGGACUGGCUGAACGGCAAGGAGUACAAGUGCAAGGUCUCCAACAAAGGCCUCCCGUCCUCCAUCGAGAAAACCAUCUCCAAAGCCAAAGGGCAGCCCCGAGAGCCGCAGGUGUACACCCUGCCCCCAUCCCGGGAGGAGCUGACCAAGAACCAGGUCAGCCUGACCUGCCUGGUCACAGGCUUCUACCCCAGCGACAUCGCCGUGGAGUGGGAGAGCAGCGGGCAGCCGGAGAACAACUACAAGACCACGCCUCCCGUGCUGGACUCCGACGGCACCUUCUUCCUCUACAGCAAGCUCACCGUGGACAAGAGCAGGUGGCAGCAGAGGAACGUCUUCUCAUGCUCCGUGAUGCAUGAGGCUCUGCACAACCACUACACGCAGAAGAGCCUCUCCCUGUCUCCGGAGCUGCAACUGGAGGAGAGCUGUGCGGAGGCGCAGGACGGGGAGCUGGACGGGCUGUGGACGACCAUCACCAUCUUCAUCACACUCUUCCUGCUAAGCGUGUGCUACAGUGCCACCGUCACCUUCUUCGAGGUGAAGUGGAUCUUCUCCUCGGUGGUGGACCUGAAGCAGACCAUCGUCCCCGACUACAGGAACAUGAUCGGGCAGGGGGCCUAGGGCCACCCUCUGCGGGGUGUCCAGGGCCUCCCAGUCCCCACACACGAGCCGUGGGCCAUGCUCAGCCACCACCCAGGCCACACCUGCCCCCUGACCUCACCGCCCUCAACCCCAUGGCUCUCUGGCCUCGCAGUCGCCCUCUGACCCCUGACACGCCCCCCUUCCAGACCCUGUGCAUAGCAGGUCUAGCCCAGACCUCCGCUGCUUGGUGCAUGCAGGGCGCUGGGGGCCAGGUGCCCCCUCAGCAGGACGUCCCUGCCCUCCGGACCGCCAGGUGCUCACACAAAAGGAGGCAGCGACCGGCAUCCCGGGCCCCCACCCAGGCAGGAGCUGGCCCUGGAGCCAACCCCGUCCACGCCAGCCUCCUGAACACAGGCGUGGUUUCCAGAUGGUGAGUGGGAGCAUCAGCUGCCAAGGUAGGGAAGCCACAGCACCACCAGGCCCAGCUGGGGAGGCUUCGGAGAGCUGCGAAGGCUCACUCAGACGGCCUUCCUCCCAGCCCGCAGCCAGCCAGCCUCCAUUCCGGGCACUCCCGUAAACUCCUGAUGAGAGGAAUGAUGUUGUUCUGAUUUCAAGCAAAGAACGCUGCUCUCUGGCUCCUUGGAACAGAGUCUCGGUGCCCGCACCACCCCUUGGCUGCCUGCCCACACUGCUGGAUUCUCGGGUGGAACUCCACCUGCAGGGACAGCCAGCCCCAGUGUCUGCACUGGGGAGAGAAGGGGCCAGGCCCAGGACACUGCCACCUCCCACCCACUCCAGUCCACCGAGAUCCCUCGGAGACGAGCCUGGGCCAUGUGGCCGCGGCAGGAACCCCACAGUGCAACGGUGAGGAUAGCCCAAGGAAGGGGUGGGCAUGUGCCCAGACAGGCCUCCCACAGAAGGCUGCUGACCAGGUCCCAGGCAGGCAAGACUCAGCCUUGGUGGGGCCUGAGGACAGAGGAGGCCCAGGAGCAUCUGAGAGAGAGGUGGAGGGACACCAGGAGAGCCAGGAGCCUGGACACAGCCAGAACUCAUCACAGAGGCUGGCGUCCAGCCCCAGGUCACGUGCAGCAGGAACAAGCAGCCACUCUGGGGGCACCGGGUAGAGAGGCAAGAUGACAAAGAGGGUGCCCGUGUUCUUGCAAAAGCGGGGCUGCUGGCCACGAGUGCUGGACAGAAACUCCCACGCUCUGCUGCCCCCAUCAUGCCGUUCCAUGAAUGUCACACACAAUCCGCAGACAGGAAGGGAGGCUCAAGCGGGAGUGCGGCAAGCGCCUGCCUCAGCUGUAAGGGAGGACUCCCAGGCUCACUCAAAGGAGGUGCCACCAUUUCAGCUUUGGUAGCUUUUCUUCUUCUUUUAAAUUUUCUAAAGCUCAUUAACUGUCUUUAAUGUUUCUUUUUUGAUGGCAAUAAAAUAUCCUUUUUAAG